rnacentral:rRNA from 1 species
AACGGAGGGUGCAAGCGUUGUUCGGAAUUACUGGGCGUAAAGCGCGUGCAGGCGGUCUUUUAAGUUCCGUGUGAAAUCCCCCGGCUUAACCGGGGAACUGCGCGGAAAACUGGGAGACUUGAAUACGGGAGAAGAGGGCGGAAUUCCCAGUGUAGAGGUGAAAUUCGUAGAUAUUGGGAGGAACACCGGCGGCGAAAGCGGCUCUCUAGACCGAUAUUGACGCUCAUUCGCGAGAGCGUGGGUAGCACACAGG